UACGUAGGGGGCGAGCGUUAUCCGGAAUUACUGGGUGUAAAGGGAGCGUAGGCGGGGAUGCAAGUUGGGUGUCAAAACUACCGGCUCAACUGGUAGUCGCACUCAAAACUGCAACUCUUGAGUGAAGUAGAGGCAGGCGGAAUUCCUAGUGUAGCGGUGAAAUGCGUAGAUAUAUGGAAGAACACCAGUGGCGAAAGCGGCUCUCUGGUCUGUAACUGACGCUGAGGUUCGAAAGCGUGGGUAGCAAACAGG
rnacentral:rRNA from 1 species